UCAUCCAACAUUUUUCACCCUAUAAACUGUAAUGUAAACUUCAAUUUUAGUCAAGUCUUUAUAAAUAUUAAAGUUAAUUUUUCUUUGUUAUUUAUUUUAAGUUAACUUCAUACUUACGGUUACUCUACUUAAAUUAAGAACAGGAACGUUAAUAAUCGUUAUUGAGCGCUUUUUAAAAAAAUAAACAAAUUAUAGAGGGUUACCGUACUGUAGAAUUAAAUUUUCUAAUCCAUAAACGUCACUACACUAAUAGUAAAGACAUUUAUAACCAUAUCAAUUUCUGUUGUUUUACAAUUUUCGUGAAACUACUACUUUCAUACUAAAGUUGAAAUUUGAUGUCUCAUCAUGAGUGACUCAAAUUCGGGUUCAAAGAGGGGAAGGGGAUCAUCGUUUUGGCGUGGAAGGGGAAAUUGGAGAGGAAGAGGAAAUUGGAAAGCGCGAGGAAACUGGAGGGGUAGAGGGAAUGGAGGCUACAACAGACCAAACAACACAAACGACCGAGAACAAGUUAAUGAUGGAAUUCAGUGCUCGCCUGAGGAGUCGUACACAACGCCCACAGAGCUCACCAAACAGAUUGCCAUCGACAGACUGUUCACUCCAAUACCAGGCUGCUACAAAGCAUGGAAGCUGUAUUUUCCUAUGGAAGAGUAUAACACAGCUUCGCCAACAGUUAACAAAAUAAAAUCGUUCGAGAAGUACAUCAAUAAAAACAAAGAUCUGUUCAUCAUUUCUGAAAUUGAGAAAAGGAAAGCCUUCAAUCUAGAUCUGAAAGUUUUGAAAAGAGACGUCGAAUUUAUGGACGACUGGUCAGAUUUCGAAGAGAACUUAUCCAAUCAGCCUGAUCUCUCUCUUAAUUGUCUGUCCCUUGCUAUGCAUCAGUUUGUUUUGACUCAUAUGGAAAAAGAACUUGAAGAAGAGAAUGUGGUAACAGAAAUAAGUCUUCCAAUGAUAAAAGUGAGACUCAUCAAUUACGAGCCAGUGGUGCAGAUGAAGCAUUUGACCGCUAAUACAUACGGUAAACUGGUAGCAAUUGAGGGCACAGUGAUCCGUGUGGGGCAGAUGAAGCUAUUGUGCGCAUGGCUUGCGUUUGGCUGCAAACGGUGUGCGCAUGUGCAGUGCGUGGCGCAGACAGACGGCGCAUGCACCCUCCCCACCUCAUGUCUGCAGGCCACCUGUCAGUCGCGAUCAUUCACGCCGCUCUACUCGUCGCCCUACACGCAGACUGUCAACUGGCAAACUGUCAAGCUCCAGGAGAUACUUGCUGAUGAUCAGAGGGACAGAGGCAGAGUGCCUAGAACAGUUGAGUGUGAACUCAAUGACGAACUGGUUGAUUGCUGCUCCCCUGGUGAUGUUGUUUCAAUCACUGGAAUCGUUAAAAUACGCAGCAGUGAUGAAAGCUCAUAUAGAAAAAGUAAAGCACCAAGUGUCUACCUGAUUUAUAUUGAAGGUAAAUCCGUUUUGAACACGAAGAAUUAUUCAUCUGCACCUAAGCAAAGUAGUGAUGUCGAAUUCACUACAAACGACUACUAUGCAAUUCAGGAGUUGCAAGCGAACGCACAGCUGUUUCGGCUGGCGGUGAACUCGCUGUGUCCUUCGAUCUACGGCCACGAAAUGGUGAAAGCGGGACUGCUGUUGGGCCUGCUGGGGGGUGCAGGGGGCUGCCGGAGGGGGGACUCCCACAUACUCGUGGUCGGUGACCCCGGGCUGGGAAAGUCACAGAUGCUACAGGCUUGCUCCAUGAUAGCUCCCCGAGGAGUUUAUGUGUGCGGCAACACUAGUACGUCAUCUGGACUAACAGUGACCCUGACGCGGGAGGGUGGAGGCAAUUUUGCACUGGAAGCCGGAGCUCUUGUGCUGGCAGACCAAGGCUGCUGUUGCAUUGAUGAGUUCGACAAAAUGUCAUCUCAACAUCAGGCUCUGCUGGAAGCAAUGGAACAGCAAGUGAUCAGCAUCACGAAGGCGGGCAUAAUUUGCACGCUGCCAGCUCGAACAUCCAUCUUGGCAGCAGCCAAUCCGGUUGGCGGCCAUUACAAUCGGGCAAAAACUGUUUCAGAAAACUUACGACUCGGAUCUGCUCUACUGUCCAGAUUUGACCUGGUUUUCAUUCUUCAAGAUCGACCAGAUGAGUACUUGGAUACCCUUCUAUCUGAGCAUGUGAUGUCUCUCUACUCAAAUCUGAAACAUUCGAGUAACGCAGAUGAGACUUCCUCGUUUGUCGGCAGCAUGUCGUGCACUGAACCCGAUGUAUUCAAUCCAAAUGUUCCACUCAGUAAACGGUUAAAACUGUGUCCCGGAGAAGAGAUCAGUCCCAUAUCAGCAGUGCUGCUGAGGAAAUACAUCGCUUAUGCUAAGAAGUACAUUCCUUCUCCUGAGCUGUCGGCGGAGGCGGCAACCGUGCUACAGAAUUUCUACUUGGAGCUGAGGAGACAGCAUCAGACUCUCGAUGCCACGCCCAUCACAACUCGUCAGCUCGAAUCGCUUAUUCGACUAACACAGGCUAGAGCCAAACUGGAGCUACGAGAAAUAGCGACUGCUUUGGAUGCCAUCGAAGUGGUGGAGCUGAUGCGAUGGAGCAUGGUGGACACAUUCACCACCGAUAUUGGCGGUCUCGAUUUCCAGCGAUCCCAGCAUGGCUCUGGAAUGAGCUCGAGGAAUCAAGCCAAACGUUUCAUAAGUGUUCUACAAAGACAAGCGGACCACAAAGGCAGUUCAAUGUUUAGUGUUGAUGAGAUGAAAGACACGGCCGCCACAAACAAUAUUGUAGUCAACGAUUUCUUCGCUUUCCUCUCAUCCUUGAACAAUCAUGGAUUUCUCAUAAAAAAGGGCAAAAAUCAGUAUCAGCUACUGAGCGUGGACUAUUAGUUGGCUGGUUCAGAAUAACACUCGUACUGUUUGGCAGUUUGAAAUCAUGUUGCAGUCGAUGGGAAGUUUGGCAGUUUGCGUUAACAAGAAACUGAGAUCUGGCCUUCGUUCGUAGACGUUGGACAGCGGAAGUGAUAAGAUUAUCUCUGAUGAUAAAGUAUCGGUUGGUAAGUCUACUGAAUUCUCUCUAUCAUUGGAAGAUAAGCUAAUGACUAUUUUCAACGAAAUUAAAGGUGUAAAACAAGAGAAGUUGGACAUUAUUAAGUCUAUUGAAGACAUUCAGCUUUUUGAUGAUGACUUCGCGAAAAUUUGAAAAGCCACGAUGCCAAAUUACCUGAACACCGCUCAGCCGAUUUCAAUGAUAAAAUAAUUUACUUUUAGAUUAGUUAGUUAGAAUUUUGUUUUAUUUGAUUGUAAUGACUUGUGUUAUAAUGUCAAAAUAAGUAAUAUUAUUUCAUAUUGAUUAUUUGAAGUGAAAUCUUUGAUUUGAUAUUAUUUACAUAGUCCUACCAAUAGUUACGAGAUUCUAUAAUUUUUUAAAUCAUUAAACAACCUUGAAUUUAUGGCACUGGUGCUAACUGGUACAGUACCUACUGUAUUUAUCUGCUUCUUCAUUACUCUAAACAUUUACUAUGUCUUGUUCUUUACUGUUCAUUCUUGAAGUACACGACUAUCACAUUGCGAUGCCAGCUCUUCAAUAGUCAGUAUUCCUCCCCCCCCCCCCAACAACAUGGUUGUUGUACAAAAACAGUAUGUUGUAUACGCUAUAUAUUAAUCACAAAUACAAAUGAGUAUGGGUUUCAAUUGAAAAUUCCUAUCGAGCUGAUUAAUUAAUAGCGCUUCCAUUCAAAUACCAUUAACUCAUUAGAAGAGCAAAUAAUUCUAUUUUUUUAAUACACAUUGAUACAUUUAUGCACCGGUCUGGUAGUUGAACGUUGAAAUUAGAUGAUUAUAGUGGUCUUCUCAAAACUAAAUUAUUUUCAUUAUUGAAAGCGUUUUAAAAAAUAAAAGAACGUUCUAUUAAAAUAGCUUUAUUUCAACAGCCGUUGAGUCAUAUCAGGCCCUGAAAUCGAUUAGGUACAACCUGAAUAGAUACUACAGAUCUGAGCGAGCCAGGUUACUCUUUACUUUUAUUUUUGUAUCCUAAUUCUAUUGGU